UUUGCUCUGGAAGGACAAAAUGUUGGCAGUUGCAACUUUUUUUUUUUUUUGCCUGCGCAAAGCCAUCACUGACUAACUUAACCUUAAUUUUUUAAUUUCACACUUGAUGGGUGGGGAGGCACGAUUACAGACCCAACUUAUUUACUAACAAAAAGUCAAUUUUUCAAUAUACACUCGUCACUAAAAAUUAGGCAUGGUGGACUUUCUGGUAAAAUUUCUGAAUGCAUUAAAUCUUUUACAGGUGACCUUAAUUUGACUUUCUAAACUUUUGAAAGAGCAUGUCCAACUGUGAGGACAGUUUGUUGGUAAUUACAGUCGCCAGCAGAGGGCGGUAUUAGCCAAAAUGGCAAUCCUCUUAUUCCAGAAACAAUAUUAUUAAUCAGAAUAUCAUGUUUAGACUAGUGAGGGCACAAACAAUGUAUGGCGCUUUGUUCCCUUUUAAUAGACUUCCUGGUCCAAUUACAAUUGGCAUUUGUACAGUCAAUCCUCUCCAUCCUGCUGUUCACAGUUUGACAUUGAAGCUUUCUUUAUGUGUGGUUUCAACAAUAUGUUUCUCAGUGGGAAAGUGGCCAUUUAACAAAUGAGAGAAGACAAUUUACCGCUCCGGUUUUGGUGCUCUCCAUGUUGCAGUCAGGGAUGAUUUUAGACAGUGUCACAAUCCAGUUGUUGAUUUUGUCCCUCCGCCGCCUUUCCACUAAAAAAAAAUAUAUAUAUAUCAGGAAGCAGUCAUUUUUCCUUGGGUUGCCGGGCUAUGGCAGCUCCACAGCAGCCUCUAGAGGCCACGUUGAGAACAGUUGUGAAUUCACAUCCAUUUCAAGACAGAGCGUGUAUUGUGUCGCCCUGUCAGGCAAGUGAAAAGGCCGCAAUCCCAGCUAAUUACCCACCUUCAUUAUGUUGCGCUCUCCUCCUUUCAUCUCGUGGCGUUCGCGGACCGUCCAUUUUCCUUCAGAGAAACAAAACACACACACACUUGUUUUUCACACAGCGCAAUAUCUCCCAUCUCUCCUUGCAUCACCUCAUACCCGAGACUAUUACCGACUGUUCUGGGCUGUUAUCAUGGACAAUGUCUUUUCUAAUGCCAGGAGCCUAGACUGCGCUUGCUUCACGCUGUCCUAAACGUCUGCCUGGAGCUCCAACAACAUUCUUCGCUUUCCAAGUGCGGCUCGCAGGGGGAGCGUGUUGCUGUUUUACGGCGCAGUAAAACGGUGACGAGCCGUCGGCUGGCGUCCCGAGCUGCCGGCUAAUGAGACAAGCGUCUCUCGUAUGGGCGUCUUCCCUCAGGUACGCCAUUAAUUAAGACACGGCAGUGGAACCAUUUCCAACGGCGGCAAAGCAUGAAGGGUCUGGUAACACCAUUGCGUAUAAAUAUUAAUGACCUAUUUUCUUAAAUGGGACCACAAACUGUCUUACUCAUUUUAAAAAAAAGUAGCUGGGGAUUUAUCGACCUGUGCCUUUCACGCAAAAUGCAGCGAAGCGGGACAGUGCCGUGUUUGUGGCCGCUGUCACACAGCGCCAACAGCCAGCGUGGACACGUGCGAGAUGAGAGUGCGGUGAGUCUGGAGAUGUUUGCAGACGCAGCGCGGCAACCUAAUUUCUGAUUCCCGACGCGGAGCGAGUUGCCGGGCUAACAACAAUGGAUGAGGGUCAGCGCUGAGGGAGCGCUACGUCUGCGUCUCACACAUCAAGAGCGAGGAGAAUCACCGGGGAUUGGAGCGGGAGGAGGGAGAGGAGGAGGCUUCUCUCUGCUCGGGAUCUAAUUUGAUUAGUUCAUUUGCUGCAAACAGGAAUGUGCUGUGAUGCCGGUGAUGGGGGAAAAAAAGGAGGAAGAGGAGAAGGAGGAAGGGGAGGAAGUGGAAAGCAUUCCUCACCAGUUUAAACCUUCGUGCCGCAGCGUCUCGUUUUCAUUUCUGCGGACGGCACAUAGGGUGGGGAGGUUUUUACUUCACUUUAGCAAACGAGAAUGUCACUGUUGAUUAGUUCACACUCAAAACAUAAAAACAAAAAGGCCAGUGUGGGAAGAUUUAUGUAAACAAUAACAAGACAGCCAUUAAAAAAAGAAUGUAUGCUGCGUCUCCUGUUUGUCAUGCGGCUUAACCGACAACAAUGCGGAUUUUGUGUCCAAACAACAGCACGUUUAACAACGGGGAAUAUUGAUGUAACUCAAUUUGACAACUGGUCAUGUGCUCGUUGCAGCUUUGCCUUGACGAGAGAAAACUUCAGCUAAUUUCAUUUCGGCGGGGCACAAAUAUGUAUUUUUGUACGUCAGAACAGUUCAUACCUGUAAAACUACCAAAGUCGAAAAAGUAAAGAAUUAGUAUGGAGCGAAAAAACUGAAAAAUGGUUAUGCUCCUUAACUGUAUCUGACAUUUUUUAUCCCUGCCUUGUAAUAUAAGCAUCAUUCAUCUUUAUGUGUUUAUAUUUGGAGUGAGGCCUGAUGUUGCAAUCGAUAUUAAAAAAAAAAAAUAAGACAAUAAAAGCAAGCAAAAUGACUAGACUGGAUUCACACUGCAUGCUUCAAAUGACAACUCUGGUUGUUUUGCCAAAAUAUAAAGAAAUCUUUAGAUGACAAUUAGGAUUCUUUUUAAGUGCUAUUUAGGCAUCUGUGCAUGCAUGUUGUAUCAUUUGUUCUGUUGUAAAUUCAAAUAGUGAAGCCCAAACAAUAAGUAAAGGAAAUUUGUCUCUUGGACCUGCAGUGAAAAUCCAGAUUGAGUGAUUCAUUUGAUUUUUUAUGAAUGGGCUGGCUACUCACGCUGGGAAGGGUUGCGUGCGCGGUGCGAUGUUUCGUGUGGCGCCUGUCUGAAUGACAUCAGGAGGGGUCAUCAUCACGUAGAACUGCCCUGUGGAAAGGAAGGCAUUUAGCUCUUAAUCUGUAUUUUUGUUUUGUUCAUUUUUUUCCCCAUCAAGCAUAUUGGCACUCCUCACAUCAAUGUCAUCACACAUUAUAAAUUGUGUCCAUUUGUCCAAAUAUAUUUCACUCACAGUAAUUUUGUUGAGAAAAGUUGAGGAGGGAGUUUUUUUUUUUCUUUUUUUUUUUUUUUUUUUUUUAAAAACAACAAGUGCGAACCUGUCGUCAAUUGAGCAACAGUUCGUCGCUAAGUAUGA